GAUAAACGCUGGCGGCGUGCAUAACACAUGCAAGUCGAACGAAGUGGCGAAAGGGUGAGUAACACGUGAGUAAACUGCCUUACACAAGGGGAUAGACAUUGGAAACGAAGAAUAAUACCCUAUAGUGUAAGAUGGACUUGCGUCUGAUUAGCUAGUUGGUGAGAUAAAGGCCCAACAAGGCAACGAUCAGUAGCCGGCGUGAGAGCGUGUGCGGCCACAUUGGGACUGUGACACGACCCAAACUCGACGGGAGGCAGCAGUGGGGAAUUUUGCACAAUGGGGGAAACCCUGAUGCAUCGACGUCGCGUGAUUUAGUAGGCCUUCGGGUUGUAAAAAUCUUUUUUAUGGGAUGCAGUACUAUAAGAAUAAGGUCCGGCUAAAUGCGUGCCAGCAGCCGCGGUAAUUC
rnacentral:rRNA from 1 species